rnacentral:rRNA from 1 species
UGACCUUCGGAUCAGUAGGUACCCCAGUACGGAUACCCGCUGAACUUACGCAUAUCAAUAACCGAAGGAAAA